rnacentral:tRNA from 1 species
GGCUUGCUGGUCUAGUGGUAUGAUUCUCGCUUAAGGUUCGAGAGAUCACGGGUUCGAUUCCCGUGCAAGCCC